rnacentral:rRNA from 1 species
CCUACGGGGGGCUGCAGUGGGGAAUAUUGGACAAUGGGGGCAACCCUGAUCCAGCCAUGCCGCGUGUGUGAAGAAGGCCCUCGGGUUGUGAAGCACUUUCAGUGAGGAAGAACGCCUGGUGGUUAAUACCCAUCAGGAAAGACAUCACUCACAGAAGAAGCACCGGCUAACUCCGUGCCAGCAGCCGCGGUAAUACGGAGGGUGCGAGCGUUAAUCGGAAUUACUGGGCGUAAAGCGCGCGUAGGUGGCUUGAUAAGCCGGUUGUGAAAGCCCCGGGCUCAACCUGGGAACGGCAUCCGGAACUGUCAAGCUAGAGUGCAGGAGAGGAAGGUAGAAUUCCCGGUGUAGCGGUGAAAUGCGUAGAGAUCGGGAGGAAUACCAGUGGCGAAGGCGGCCUUCUGGACUGACACUGACACUGAGGUGCGAAAGCGUGGGUAGCAAACAGGAUUAGAUACCCUUGUAGUC